GUACACGCUGUGACUAGCAUAUCAAUAAGCGGAGGAAAAGAAACUAACAAGGAUUCCCCUAGUAACGGCGAGUGAAGCGGGAAGAGCUCAAAUUUGAAAUCUUAAAGGGUUUCCCUUUACGAAUUGUAGUUUAAAGAAGUGUUUUCUGUUGAGGUUUUGGUAAAAGUUCUUUGGAAUAGGACAUCAUAGAGGGUGAGAAUCCCGUAUUUGACCUUUACUUUCAACUUUGUGAUACACUUUCAAAGAGUCGGAUUGUUUGGGAAUGCAGUCCAAAAUGGGUGGUAAAUUUCAUCUAAAGCUAAAUAUUGGCGAGAGACCGAUAGCGAACAAGUACCGUGAGGGAAAGAUGAAAAGAACUUUGAAAAGAGAGUUAAACAGUACGUGAAAUUGUCAAAAGGGAAGCGUUUGACACCAGUGUUGUUUUUCUGAAAAUCAAUUAAAGAACUGUUUAUGCUAAGCUGUUUAGACUUUAUCAGCUAACUGUUUAGUUUUGAGCUUUUCUUUAAUGCACUUUUCAGUUAACAAGUCAACAUCAAUUUCUUUUGCUGUAAAAAAGCUUGAGGAAGGUGGCUUGGGAUUCGUCUUAAGUGUUUAUAGCCUCUUGCCUAUGCAGUCGGAGAGAUUGAGGUCUGCAGCGUAGAUCCUUCGGGGCUAAAUGCAUUUGUGCUAAGUUAUAGCAUUUUAUAGACAACUUGUUGACUAUGAUUUGUCUUGUAGCUUACUCGCUUAUGUUAUUUUACCUACGCUUAGGAUGUUGAGUCGUAGAGCACGCAG
rnacentral:rRNA from 1 species